GUCUGACACUGGGACCAGGAUGGGAAUUCCACCCAGAGCAGCUUCUACACUCCUGAACAGACCCAGGUGUGGUGGAGAGCUUCUGAGCAGCUUCCAUCUGAAUGACAGGACAAGCUACAUGAACUGAUCCAGGCUAAAUGAACCCAUGAAAUCUGCUGUCAGACUGAUUGUUGCAGCUACAAAUGGUCCAGACUAACAUGAAGUAAAGCUUAUUGCUACAUGUGUGUUGCUGCUGCAAGCUUGGAGCUAGAUUACAUCAUGACAUCAUGAAGGAGGCGACUGAUUCUUGUCCUGUGACACUUGGUGACGUGUGAGCUGAUUCACCUCGACACUCAGCAAAAUAUGGGCGCUACAUCAUGAGGCAGGCAUGCGUUAAUAUUCUAUAAGAGCACAUGAGAGGGGAUCCUGCUAGACCAAAGUGAACUCCUGAUCGACAUUGAAGUCUUCCUGCAGAGCUUGUAGCUUCGACACCAUGCCAAUAGAAACUCCACUGAGUGCUUUCCUUCACCAAGGCAGGACCCAGUGACUCAUUACUGUUGAUCAGUCAGGGGCAGGUAAUUUUGUGUUUCAUGUUUAUUUAUUCCUCCACAGAUUACCAGCCAUAAUAUAUGAACACAUGUUGUAUUCUCGAGAUCUAUGCUGUGGGUAGGAAUAGAACAAAUAUGUUUAUUUUGUUUUCUAAUGCUAUGUCAAUUUUUCUCAUUGUUUAUCAGUAAUUUUCACUAACUUAUUUGAGCAUCUUUAAAUUUUUCUGUAUUUAACGGUUGCAAAUGUUAAAUGUAAAGUAAGAUUUUUUAUUUUCUCAUUGU